UACGAAGGGGGCUAGCGUUGCUCGGAAUGACUGGGCGUAAAGGGCGCGUAGGCGGAUGGCACAGUCAUAUGUGAAAUUCCCGGGCUUAACCUGGGGGCUGCAUUUGAUACGUGUUGUCUUGAGUUCGGAAGAGGGUCGUGGAAUUCCCAGUGUAGAGGUGAAAUUCGUAGAUAUUGGGAAGAGCACCGGUGGCGAAGGCGGCGACCUGGUCCGACACUGACGCUGAGGCGCGAAAGCGUGGGGAGCAAACAGG
rnacentral:rRNA from 1 species